UAACACAUGCAAGUCGAACGAAGUAGCUAUACUUAGUGGCAGACGGGUGAGUAACAUGUGGGUAUCUGCCCUUUGGCCUGGAAUAACACGAGGAAACUUGUGCUAAUACCGGAUAAGUCUUUACGGAGAAAGCUUUAUGCACCAUUGGAUGAGCCCGCACUAGAUUAGGUUUGUUGGUGGGGUAAAUGGCCUACCCAAGACUGUGAUCUAUAGCUGAUUUGAGAGGGAUGAUCAGCCACAUUGGGACUGAGACACGGCCCAAACUCCUACGGGAGGCAGCAGUGGGGAAUCUUGCACAAUGGAGGAAACUCUGAUGCAGCGAUGCCGCGUGAGUGAAGAAGGCCUUUGGGUUGUAAAGCUCUUUCGUCGGGGAAGAAAAUGACUGUACCCGAAUAAGAAGGUCCGGCUAACUUCGUGCCAGCAGCCGCGGUAAUACGAAGGGACCUAGCGUAGUUCGGAUUUACUGGGCUUAAAGAGUUCGUAGGUGGUUGAAAAAGUUGGUGGUGAAAUCCCAGAGCUUAACUCUGGAACUGCCAUCAAAACUUUUCAGCUAGAGUAUGAUAGAGGAAAGCAGAAUUUCUAGUGUAGAGGUGAAAUUCGUAGAUAUUAGAAAGAAUACCAAUUGCGAAGGCAGCUUUCUGGAUCAUUACUGACACUGAGGAACGAAAGCAUGGGUAGCGAAGAGGAUUAGAUACCCUCGUAGUCCAUGCCGUAAACGAUGUGUGUUAGACGUUGGAAAUUUAUUUUCAGUGUCGCAGCGAAAGCGAUAAACACACCGCCUGGGGAGUACGACCGCAAGGUUAAAACUCAAAUGAAUUGACGGGGACCCGCACAAGUAGUGGAGCAUGUGGUUUAAUUCGAAGAUACGCGCAGAACCUUACCAACACUUGACAUGUUCGUCGCGACUCUAAGAGAUUAGAGUUUUCGGUUCGGCCGGACGAAACACAGGUGCUGCAUGGCUGUCGUCAGCUCGUGUCGUGAGAUGUUGGGUUAAGUCCCGCAACGAGCGCAACCCUCACUUUUAGUUGCCAUCAUUAAGUUGGGCACUCUGAAAGAACUGCCAGUGAUAAGCUGGAGGAAGGUGGGGAUGACGUCAAGUCCUCAUGGCCCUUACGUGUUGGGCUACACACGUGCUACAAUGGCAUCUACAACAGGAAGCAAAACGGCAACGUUAAGCAAAUCCCGAAAAGAUGCCUCAGUUCGGAUUGCACUCUGCAACUCGAGUGCAUGAAGCUGGAAUUACUAGUAAUCGUGGAUCAGCGUGCCACGGUGAAUGCGUUCCCGGGUCUUGUACACACCGCCCGUCACACCAUGGGAGUUGGUUCUACCUUAAGGCAAGGUUUUAAACCCUUGACCACGGUAUAGUCAGCGACUGGGGUG
rnacentral:rRNA from 1 species